rnacentral:rRNA from 1 species
UGGACCGCAUGGUUCUAAAGUAAAAGAUGGUUUUGCUAUCACUUAUAGAUGGACCCGCGCCGUAUUAGCUAGUUGGUAAGGUAACGGCUUACCAAGGCAACGAUACGUAGCCGACCUGAGAGGGUGAUCGGCCACACUGGAACUGAGACACGGUCCAGACUCCUACGGGAGGCAGCAGUAGGGAAUCUUCCGCAAUGGACGAAAGUCUGACGGAGCAACGCCGCGUGAGUGAUGAAGGUUUUCGGAUCGUAAAACUCUGUUAUUAGGGAAGAACAAAUGUGUAAGUAACUGUGCACAUCUUGACGGUACCUAAUCAGAAAGCCACGGCUAACUACGUGCCAGCAGCCGCGGUAAUACGUAGGUGGCAAGCGUUAUCCGGAAUUAUUGGGCGUAAAGCGCGCGUAGGCGGUUUCUUAAGUCUGAUGUGAAAGCCCACGGCUCAACCGUGGAGGGUCAUUGGAAACUGGGAAACUUGAGUACAGAAGAGGAAAGUGGAAUUCCAUGUGUAGCGGUGAAAUGCGCAGAGAUAUGGAGGAACACCAGUGGCGAAGGCGACUUUCUGGUCUGUAACUGACGCUGAUGUGCGAAAGCGUGGGGAUCAAACAGGAUUAGAUACCCUGGUAGUCCACGCCGUAAACGAUGAGUGCUAAGUGUUAGGGGGUUUCCGCCCCUUAGUGCUGCAGCUAACGCAUUAAGCACUCCGCCUGGGGAGUACGACCGCAAGGUUGAAACUCAAA